CUGCACAGUAAACAUCCAGGUGUGCUUUAUAGUACUCUUGGUUUUAAUUUUGUGCUACAGCAAUGGUUGUUCUUUACCUUUGCAUUACACCUAUCCUUUUAAGUGUAUUCAAAAGGUCAGCACAUUA